rnacentral:rRNA from 1 species
UACAGAGGCCUCGAGCGUUAGGCGGAAUCACUGGGCUUAAAGCGUGUGUAGGCGGACUUCUAAGUACCUUGUGAAAUCCCACGGCUCACCCGUGGAACUGCUCGGUAUACUGGUCGUCUUGAGCCUUCUAGGGGCGAGUGGAACAAAUGGUGGAGCGGUGAAAUGCGCAGAUAUCAGGAGGAACACCGGUGGCGAAGGCGGGUCUCUGGGCCGUAACUGACGCUGAGGAGCGAAAGCGUGGGGAGCGAACAGG